AUCAUCAGUAAUUCCGUAGUGUAUUGUUGCAGUUUCAUCUUGCUUUUCCAAAUAAAGCUUUACAACAUAAAAAAAAAAAAAAUCUAAAGUUCAACCUAACCUUGAAAUUCUGACAUACUGAAAAAAUCUACAAAAUAAAGAUAAUUUCUAAGAGAUGUAUGAAGAGCUGAGGAAAGAACCAUGAGGUUUAGGACACCCUGAGUAACCUUUUGUUUGUCUGGCAGUUCAGAUGAAUAAAAGAAUUGGUCUAAAUAGAAAUUGAUUUUUGCUUCAUAUUUUCUAACUGAAAUCAAAAAAUAAAACAACACAUUAGCAGAGAAGUCUGUUUUACACUAAGCAAAGAAUUUCACGUUAUCUGGAAUGCAAGUUUUAUUCUGAGGACUUGUAAAAAUUAAUGAAACUAGACUAUCAAAGAAGUCCAGGUACCAUAUCAGCUGGUACAGAAUGUUUUCACCAGCUGAAGUACUUACUCAAAAGCUGAGAGGAAUAUGUCUUUGUGUAUCACCUUUGCAGGACAACUCAUAAGUCCAACUUGUUGUUGCAGGUAUUAAGUAAACAUGCUUGUAAGAUGGGCCUUGCCAUUCAAAUUGGUUUCCAGAGUCAAACUGAGAUGGAUUUGGAACUUCAGGAUGCUACCCCAGUUUUUUCCAUCUGACAAGACGCUAUUUGCCCUUUGCACAGCAGAAUACAAUCCAGAAGAAAGUAACUUUGAAGAUACUUUACACAAAAAGAUUGUUUGUCUAAUCAACUCAUGUGAAAGUGAUUUAUAAAUGCUCCUUGUUAGAAGCAAGUCUACUAGGAUACAAGAAGCUCAAAAGAAAGAUACUUCAGCUGAAUUUGAUUCUGUAACUUUUCUUUCAGUUAUUAUAUAAGGCAGGAUUACAAAACUGUCAUGAUACAGACAGCUUAACAAUAGGUCAAGAAUAUUGUCUGUCACCUGUUUCUUCUUAUGCCUAAGUCUAAAAAAAAAACCUGUCAUUUUCAUCUUUUCUGUAACUGAAAACAGAGUGAAAGAGGAAUGAGUAUCUUGCCAUUGAAUUUCAUAUGCAAUUUACAAUUUAAAAUUGAUAGUUAUAAUUAUUACUGUUUGUUACCCAAUACUUAGCUUUGUAUGAGAAAAACCUAGCAUGUGAUUGAAAGCACUUGAAAUCUGUCUGGUUUUCAUAACUAUAGGCAUCCUAACUAGACAUAUUCAUACAGCUGAUUAUGAUAGUUUUCUUAUUUAAAAGAAUAACUGACCUGAUACAGCAGAAAAAGUCUAACAAUCCUCAGAAAUAUCUUCAAGCAGAACCAGAAAGCUAGACCCUCUGUUCUUCUGAGUGAGGCAACAAGAAAACCAGGCCAUGAGCCUUUGCAUUAAGCAGCUUUUUAUUUAAAGCUUUUCUGUAUGAAUUCUUCAGGUCUGUAAACUCAGUAUAUAUGCAGACGUAUACUCUAAGAUACAGAUACAAACAGAGAGAGCUGUGUUAUCAGCAGUUCCUUACAUCUUUCUCCUGUUGUAUUGCUGCUUCUUCCAAACUGACAUGUCUGUUUCUAGCUCUCCCAAAGUCUCAGCUGUGCAGUCAGAGAUAUUUCUUCAUAUACACUGUCUGAUAUCACUGUGGGUCCGAGAAAGGGAGAGAAAUGUGUGGGGUUUGUGGGCUGUUGGAGACUUCCAAAAUCAAAAAUAAAGGUUAAUUUUUGAUCCCUGGGUUCA
rnacentral:lncRNA from 1 species